UGGGCGGCAGGUAGCCUAGCGGUUAGAGCGUUGGGCGGCAGGUAGCCUAGCGGUUAGAGCGUUGGGCGGCAGGUAGCCUAGCGGUUAGAGCGUUGGGCGGCAGGUAGCCUAGCGGUUAGAGCGUUGGGGGGCAGGUAGCCUAGCGGUUAGAGCGUUGGGCGGCAGGUAGCCUAGCGGUUAGAGCGUUGGGGGGCAGGUAGCCUAGCGGUUAGAGCGUUGGGCGGCAGGUAGCCUAGCGGUUAGAGCGUUGGGCGGCAGGUAGCCUAGCGGUUAGAGCGUUGGGCGGCAGGUAGCCUAGCGGUUAGAGCGUUGGGCGGCAGGUAGCCUAGGGCCGGUGUGGCAUUAUGGGUAAUGUGUG